rnacentral:rRNA from 1 species
UACCAGCACCCCGAGUGGUCGGGACGUUUAUUGGGGCCUAAAGCAUCCGUAGCCGGUUCUACAAGUCUUCCGUUAAAUCCACCUGCUUAACAGAUGGGCUGCGGAAGAUACUAUGGAGCUAGGAGGCGGGAGAGGCAAGCGGUACUCGAUGGGUAGGGGUAAAAUCCGUUGAUCCAUUGAAGACCACCAGUGGCGAAGGCGGCUUGCCAGAACGCGCUCGACGGUGAGGGAUGAAAGCUGGGGGAGCAAACCGG